UGGGGAAUAUUGCACAAUGGGCGCAAGCCUGAUGCAGCCAUGCCGCGUGUAUGAAGAAGGCCUUCGGGUUGUAAAGUACUUUCAGCGAGGAGGAAGGCGGUAAGGUUAAUAACCUUAUCGAUUGACGUUACUCGCAGAAGAAGCAACGGCUAACUCCGUGCCAGCAGCCGCGGUAAUACGGAGGGUGCAAGCGUUAAUCGGAAUUACUGGGCGUAAAGCGCACGCAGGCGGUCUGUCAAGUCGGAUGUGAAAUCCCCGGGCUCAACCUGGGAACUGCAUUCGAAACUGGCAGGCUAGAGUCUUGUAGAGGGGGGUAGAAUUCCAGGUGUAGCGGUGAAAUGCGUAGAGAUCUGGAGGAAUACCGGUGGCGAAGGCGGCCCCCUGGACAAAGACUGACGCUCAGGUGCGAAAGCGUGGGGAGCAAACA
rnacentral:rRNA from 1 species